rnacentral:rRNA from 1 species
GUGCCAAGCAGCCGCGGUAAAACCAGCACCUCAAGUGGUCAGGAUGAUUAUUGGGCCUAAAGCAUCCGUAGCCGGCUCUGUAAGUUUUCGGUUAAAUCUGUACGCUCAACGUACAGGCUGCCGGGAAUACUGCAUAGCUAGGGAGUGGGAGAAGUAGACGGUACUCGGUAGGAAGUGGUAAAAUGCUUUGAUCUAUCGAUGACCACCUGUGGCGAAGGCGGUCUACUAGAACACGUCCGACGGUGAGGGAUGAAAGCUGGGGGAGCAAACCGGAUUAGAUACCCGGGUAGUCCCAGCUGUAAACUAUGCAAACUCAGUGAUGCAUUGGCUUGUGGCCAAUGCAGUGCUGCAGGGAAGCCGUUAAGUUUGCCGCCUGGGAAGUACGUACGCAAGUAUGAAACUUAAAGGAAUUGGCGGGGGAGCACCACAAGGGGUGAAGCCUGCGGUUCAAUUGGAGUCAACGCCAGAAAUCUUACCCGGAGAGACAGCAGAAUGAAGGUCAAGCUGAAGACUUUACCAGACAAGCUGAGAGGUGGUGCAUGGCCGUCGCCAGCUCGUGCCGUGAGAUGUCCUGUUAAGUCCGGUAACGAGCGAGAUCCCUGCCUCUAGUUGCCACCAUUACUCUCAGGAGUAGUGGGGCGAAUUAGCGGGACCGCCGCAGUUAAUGCGGAGGAAGGAAGGGGCCACGGCAGGUCUGUGAUGCCC